rnacentral:rRNA from 1 species
AAAACUUUCAACAAUGGAUCUCUUGGUUCCGGCAUCGAUGAAGAACGCAGCGGAAAUGCGAUAACAUAAUGUGAAUUGCAAGAAUUCAGUGAAUCAUCGAGUCUUUGAACGCACAUUGCGCCCCCUGGUAUUCCGGGGGGCAUGCCUGUCCGAGCGUCAUUG